CAGCCAUGCCGCGUGCAGGAAGACGGCCCUAUGGGUUGUAAACUGCUUUUGUCAGGGAAUAAACCUGUCUACGAGUAGGCAGCUGAAGGUACCUGAAGAAUAAGCAUCGGCUAACUCCGUGCCAGCAGCCGCGGUAAUACGGAGGAUGCAAGCGUUAUCCGGAUUCAUUGGGUUUAAAGGGUGCGCAGGCGGAUUGAUAAGUCAGGGGUGAAAUCCCACAGCUCAACUGUGGAACUGCCCUUGAUACUGUUAGUCUAGAGUAUAGUUGAAGUUGGCGGAAUGUGUCAUGUAGCGGUGAAAUGCUUAGAUAUGACACAGAACACCGAUCGCGAAGGCAGCUAGCUAAGCUAUAACUGACGCUCAUGCACGAAAGCGUGGGGAUCAAACAGGAUUAGAUACCCUGGUAGUCCACGCUGUAAACGAUGAUUACUCGAUGUUGGCGAUACACAGUCAGCGUCUAAGNGAAACCAAUAAGUAAUCCA
rnacentral:rRNA from 1 species